rnacentral:lncRNA from 1 species
UUUAAUUUUCACCAACCAACAAUAACCCAAUUACCCAUUCCCGUUAUUCUCACUUUAAUGUCCCUAAAACAACUAACAUAAGGGACCUAGUCUAAGAAUAUUUCAUCGGGGCGACAACACAUGCUUCGGGGGUACCUCAGCAAUAUAAGUCAAAUAAGGCAACCAUGAGGGGGAUGGAGUACAGCGAAUGAACACCCAAGUUCAUUAACACCUACAGGUGGCGAACCUGCUAAUGUUUCCACAAGACUGUCUAGAAUAGCCAGUGGUCGUCAUCUAAACUCCGCUAGAUGACUCAAUCAAACAACAACGAGGCCUCUCAUCUGUUUAUUACACACCAACUGUCUACCCAUGUUCUACCCAACAUAUUAGUAGAUAAAAAUAUACAUUUGUAUACAUAGUUUAAAGAAAACCUGUAUAGCAUGCUUUAAUCAACACAUAUAUCACAUAACAGAUGAGGCACACACACACAUAACACAUAUCUCAUAAAGAAAUAAGCAGAUCUAUAAGAUAGAAGAGAGUGAAUACUCAUUCACACAUAACACAACCAAAUAUAUACACAUAGCACGUAUUUUUAUAUAAAAUACUUCGUAUUAUUGUAUUAGAAGAAAUAACUACACACUCACUUGAUCAGAAGAUGAUCGGACAGCACUACGGCUUAUAGAAGUAGUAAUCCACAGCAGAUCUGGAAGAUCUUCUCGAAAAUCGAACUUCUCGCGGGCAGAGCUUCGACUCGGGAACCGCACUUUUCGGGAUCUUCGGGAUCUCGGGACUUGCCUCGGGGCUAGAGUAUGAUACCGGGACUUCGGGGUAGCUUCGGGGGUUUUUGCACAGAGCUUCGACACGAAAACGAGAGGGAAUUGGCAAAAAUACCCGGAACCCUCGCAUCCUAUUUAUAGGAGGCUGGAGCCUCGGAGUACGCGGGGCGUACUGCGUUACGCGGGGCGUACUGCCCAAAACGUCAUUGCUUACGUAUCCGAAGUGCUCGAGUGCGAGUGUCGACAUCCCUCGGAGUACGCGGGGCGUACUCGAGUACGCGGGGCGUACCUCGGAUCAGAUCGGUGACUCCUUCGGAUAAUGCUUCCGAAUUUUGAUUUAAAUAUAAAUACAAAAUGAUUAAUAAACUUCGGAAAUUCAUAACUUCUUCAUACGAACUCCGUUUUCGACGUUCUUUAUAUCCACGCGAAGGUGAGACCACGCUCUACGACUUUCGUUUAGACUCCGUCGGCUAAUUUUGACUUUAUUUUUAUUAAUUAUUUUUAGUAGGCCGGGACAGAAAAACUUCGUUAUAAAUUCAUAACUUCUUCGUUUGACGUCCUUUCUCGCCUAACUUUUCAUCGUUUCAAUACCAACAACGAGAUCUUCGAUUCUUGUUUAGAUUGAUUUGACUAAAAACCGCUCGAUCUCAAAGCGAGUAUUUCGGACUGCAUACCGCUAAGUCGAAACUUCAGAAAAUCAUAACUUCCUCAUACGAAGUCAGAUUUUGGCGCUCUUUAUAUAUUCGGAAACCUCGUUUCAACUACUACAACAUUAUCCAAAGAUAUCAAGUUUAUUUUACACUUAAAUUUUGAUGCUUAUUUUUAUUCUUAAUUAAUCAAACCACAUAAUUAAGCAAUUAAGCACAAAACACAUAAUACUCAAAUAAUACACUUCUAUUAUUUCAAAAUGGGUUACAAAGGUUAACCUAGACUAUUACAUCAACGAAAAUGCCUAGCCUGGAAACGCGGGCGUUACAAUAAACAUAGCAGGCGCAUUAGUGAUCCCAAAUGACAUCACCAUGAACUCGUAAUGUCUAUAACGAGUCUGAAACACGAUCUUCUCCAAGUCCUCCUCUCUCACUCUCACCUGAUAAUACCCAAAUCUCAUAUCCAUCUUGGAGAACCAAAAUGCACCCUACAACUGAUCAAAGAGGUCAUCAAUCCGCGAAAGGGAAUAACAGUUUUUCACCGUUAACUUGUUCAACUCCUGGUAAGCAACGCACAUCCGGUGUGAACCAUCCUUCUUCUUGACGAACAGUAUUGACGCUCCCCACGGAGAACUGCUCGGUCUAAUGAACUACUUGCCUAGCAGCUCCUGCAGUUGAGAUGACAACUCCUGUAUAUCAGGGGUGCCAAGCAGUAUGGCGCCUUGGAAAUCGGGGCUGCAUGUGGCACAAGAUCAAUCCUGAACUCGACCUGCCUCUCGGGAGGCACACUGGGUAACUCCUCCGGGAAUACAUUAGCAAACUCCCUGACCACUGGAACCUCUGAAACUGAAAUAUGAUCCCCAACUUGAGUAUCAACCAUAUAAGCCACAUAACCUGCACACCCAUGAUGAAUAUAAUAACGAGCCCUAGUUGUUGAACAAAACCUUGAACUGACCCUGGUGCCCUCUCCAUAAAUAACCAGAUCUCCCCCACUUGGGGUUUGAACUACCACUCAUUGGCCCUCACAAUCAAUCAUGGCACCAAACCUGCUCAGCUAGUCCAUACCCACUAUCACGCACACAUCCCCCAUGGAAAUAGGGAUCAAAUCAAUCGGAUAAGACACCUCGAAGAUCUCUAGUACACAACCCUGAUAUACCGCAGAUGCAGCUACCCCAUGUUAGCUGGCGAUAGAAACCCGCAACGGAUACUCUAACUCCCCAAUAUGCAUAUCAAAUUCCUUACUGAAUGAUCGGGAUACAAAAGACCGAAUCGUACCCGAGUCAAACAACACAAGAGCAUGCAAAGAUUUCACUAGGAACGUACCUAUCAGAGGCAUAUAUAUAUAUAUAUAUAUAUAUAUAUAUAUAUAUAUAUAUAUAUAUAUAUAUAUAUAUAUAUAUAUAUAUAUAUAUAUAUAUAUAUAUGUGUGUGUGUGUGUGUGUGUGUAUAUAUAUAUAAGCAUAAUAGAAAACCUAAUCAACAAAAUAAUAAAUAAAAACAUACUAGUCACAACAUAUGGAGCUGCUAUGGCCUUCUCGAUAGUGAGCCGAAAAGCACGACCUCGAGCCCUCGAGGGCUCCGCCCUGACCUGACUCCCAUCCAUGAUCCUCAGUGUAGCUAGCGUUGGAUCCUACGUCAUCCCAACAGCAAACAAGGGUCACUGGGCCUUCAUAUGGCCCACCUGAUCACAAUGAUAACGAAGUAUGAUGCUAGAAGUUAUAGCCUGUUGUCGGUAGUCCCUCGCAAUGUGGCCCUAUUUGCCACAUUUUUGGUAUCCCGAAUAAGAUCGACAAGCUCCAUCAUGAACCUUAUUGCACUUCCCACAAGUGUGGCCCCUCUGACUCCUCGACCUAGAAUCGACGGCCCUAAACCGCUUUGGCGCAGGCUGCGACUGUGUCGGGGCCGGUCUCUGCUCUCUCGUUUGGAGCUCCAUCUCAAUCUCACGCCGCCUGGUGGCCUCCAACAACUCCAACAAUGAACCAUAACGUUGAGUGGAUACAAAUUGUCUGAUAUCCGUCUUGAGCAUGCUCAGGUAACGGGUCAUCUGAGCCUGCUCAGAAGUAGCAAACUCAGGACAAAACAUGGCCCUCUACGUGAACAUCUUGGUGAUCUCUGUCACCGACUCAGUCCCCUGUCUCAAAUCCAGGUACUCCUUGUCCAACCUCUCAUGCUCCACCAGCGGAACAUAUAUAGAACAGAACAUCUCCGAGAACUACUCCCAAGUCAUUGCAGUCCUCUGCUCAGGAGAAUACGAGAUGGUAACAAGUCUCCACUAAUCCUUCGCUCCAGACCUAAGAAGGUUCAGAGCGCACCUGACCCGUUGAUCAGCUGGGCAAGAGUAAGUGAAGAAACACCCUUGAAUGUCAGAAAACCACCUCAUGGCUAUGAUCGGGUCAUGAACUCCAUCAAAUGUCAGGGGCUUAGUAUUGUCAAAGUCCCAAUACUAUAAAACUCUCCCAGCACCAAACCUAGUAGCGGAAACGGUUCUGGUGGCUACAACAACAACAACCUCAGACAAACCAGCAUAACGCUCAUCAAAAUACUCCACCAUGGCGGUCUUAAUAGACUCAAACAUUUCUGUUAACUAUGCUCGAAAGUGAGCAACAACCUCAUCCUGAGGAUCUCCCUAAUCCUGUCCUCGGAAACAACUGGCUCAUUCUGGCCACCUGUCCCUGAUCCUGAUCCGGAUCCUGCAUCAAAACGACGCGUCAUCACCAUACUAAAAAUAAACCAGGGAUAUAUCAAAUAACACGCAUAUCAUACCAUGGGAACCAAAUCCCAACAAAUCCCUAGGGGUUGUGACUUCCCUGUUAUGCGUACGGGUUAUGUGCUUCCAGUAGUACGGGUCCAUACUACCUUCCACACGUACCCGUAUUUUUCUCAAGGAUCAUCACAACAACCCUAACAAUACUCACUAGAAAGCGCGUAAACUCAAUCCUCACUCCCUAGAAGAAAGCUAAACAUCACAAAACUGGUCGGCUGACCCCACACAACUCAUCCAUGAAAUUCAGUCAAACAUCUGGUCCUACCCUAAGCCCUUCAUUAAACAAGAACAUGAAAUAAGGCCAAACCAAACAUCAUUACGUUAUAGAAUCUUAGUUAUGUAUAACUAUGAUGCAUACACUAAGCAACUAUAGUACUGAUGUCAAUUUCAUAUAAGAAAGAACCCUAGGCUAUCAGGCAUCAUAUAACUAGGAAAUUAUAUCAUGCAAUUCCUGAAGAUCCCUAGCCUAUCACUAGCAUGUUGUUCUAACAUAUUACAAGAUCAAAUAAUAGUGUGGUAAAUUGGGGUCUACUUAUUGGCUCCAUCUGAUCGUACACAUCACAUCCUCUUUGAUUCUAUUGAAAACAAUUUGAAAAUCAUUUUCAAAAUCUUUUUUCUUAGUUUGAGACUGGACUCGCACGAGUGUUUAUCCAAUUCACUCAAACCAAGGCUCUGAUACCAACUUGUAACAUCCAUAAAAAUCAUGAUGAAUUUAAACUUUUUAAAAAACAAUCCAAAUUCACAAAUUGUUUACAAACAUAAUUUUCAAAACAUUUUUAACAUCAGAGUCUACCAAAAUCAUAAUACAAAGCAUGAGGAGGUGUACGAUCAUGCCUUCGCCUUCCUGCGGUCAUCUGAAGUACCUAAAACAUAACCCAAAACUAUGAGUCAACGCUUAGUGAGAUCCCCCAAAGUACCAACACAAACAAAUAAUAUAUACGAUAACAACAUGUAGGGUCCAAUCAACCAUCGGGUUGGAAUACCCGAGGCCCCUCAACCAUCGGGUUGGAAUGCCAAUACACAACGGGUACUGUCAUCCUCGGGAUGGAAUACCCUCGGGCCCACUCAACCAUCGAGUUGGAAUGCCCCCGGUCUGUUGGCUCACGUACAAAGCAGUAAUGCCUCAACCACCAACCAAACAUGUGCACAUUGUUAAAACCGUUGUCACACAGGAUUUAAAAAAAUAAAAAUAAAUGGAAAUAUGCUCUAUUGCACUAAGAGGUAGUACAUGUAAGCAAGGUUGGGUCCUCGGGGACACAUCCUAAAUUCUAUGCCUCUUUGCGUACAGCACGUACUAACUGUUAACAGGUCUAUAAAACAUAAGGGGGGGGGGGGGCUUAUUUCUGAAAAUUAAAAUUAAUAAAAGCAGAAAAUUAUAGAAGAUUAACACAAUCUAAAGACUAUGAAAAUUCAAUAAUGAGGAAGCAAUUUUAGUUCCGCGGUAACUCCCUUCAUCGUGCAAUUAACUUUCAACACGAUGAUUGAACUGUACACUUGUUUAAACUGGUAUUGAAGUUCAUUAACAAGCUCUAAUGACCUUUAUUAAAAAAAUCAUUUAAUCAAAAAUAAGCUCUUUGAAUUAAACCAAACUUUUUACUAAAUUAACCAAAAAAAACUCUUGAUUAACAAAGAAAAGUUGCAUUAAACAUAGUGUAAUUUCCCAGUGAAUUCCAACAUCUCUCAUAAGUUCAAAGGCGUAAAAACUUGUUUGAUCAAUUCAUAUUAGAGUUAAUCCUAAACACAGAAUUACUCCAAUACUUGUUACUUUUUACUAAUUAAUCUAGACAAUUACGAAUCUAAACAAUUAGCUAACAAGAAUGAUUUACAAACAAUUAAAGUGCCCAACAUAAAUUGAAAUCAAAUCAAACAUUCAAUUAAGCAUAGAAUUGAUCAAACUAAACAACAAUCACGGUCAAACAUCAUGCUUAAUGAUUAAUCACACGAAAAUGCUACAUCUUGCGAAACUGAAAUCUAGGUAUUUAGCCUGACAUGGCUAAAAACAAAUUAUAAGUAGUACGUAGAAACAAAAUCUAAACGCUAAAUCUUACUAAACAAUGAAAAGAAAUCGAAUCGUAUCCUUCAGAUCUACGUUUUUCACUAGGAAGUCUCUGAAAAUCGCCUUGUAGUCAUCAGGAAUCGCCAAUUAGGGUUACUAGAAAGUUAUAUGGGUCUAUUUAUAUGUCCAACAAUAAAAAAGUCAUGAAUGUGAUCGCAUGUAUGGAGGUUACGAUCGCAUGUAUUGAUGAAAACGUGUCUUAGGCCUUUUAAAUGAAGUACGUUGCUGUUUCGAAACAUUUUGGCCAAGUUACGAUCGUAUGGAAGUAAGUUGUGAUCGCAUGGAUGUAUGUUGCGAUCUCAUAAACAUCAUUUCUUCAUCCAUCUAAAUUUUUGGCAUGAAAAAUUUCCGAAGUCAAGCUACGAGCCAAACAUACGAUCGCAUGGAAAAAGUUGUGAUCGCAUGGACAAGAAAUGUGAUCGCAUACCUUCACGUUUGUCUCUUUUUGAUCGUCAUUCCUCCUUCCAAGCUAUUCGUGAUCAUUCCUCAACAUCCUUCCUUAGUUUAGACUCCAAUUAAUCUCCAAAGCAUCCAAUAAUGCAUCACGAACUCGCCUAUUCAUCUGUGUGCUCCAAAUACACUAAAAAUCAUAACAAACGUGAGCAGUGAUCGGUCUAUAUUUUUAACAUAAUAAAUUAUACUAAAUAUGUUGAAUUGAUGUGUGCUUGCCCAAGAAUGUCAUUAUUUUGAUAAAAUGUUGAACAUUAUGUGCAGGCAACUACUUAGUGCUAAAUUGGUCGGAACCCACAAGAAAAAUGAGUAAACUGAAAUUAACAAGUAUGGGAGACGAAUUGCUAAAGGAAUGAAGAAAAAUGGUGCUGAGAAAUUUGACCACUCUUCAAUAUUUUGAUCAUAUCUCAAGAUCUAGAGCUCCAAUUGACAUGAAUGUAGAAAUUCUGAAAACUAGACAAAAUUUCCUACAACUUUCAUGUUUUUCAUUUUUGUUGAUUCUACCGUUUUCAUCACCAAAAAGGUGCAACAAAGAUGAGGGGCGUCCUAGAACGCGCCUAAGACGCCUACCCGUUUUAGGCCAUUUUCAAGUGCAAAUCAAAGAUGACAGAAGGCAUGUAAAACGCCUUGAAGGACGCCCAGACGUCCUAUAGGACGUCUAAGACGCCUACUAGGACGCCGACGUGGAAAACAGCUCCGAAAAUCAGUUUUUUAGCACCUAUUUAAGGGAGAUUAAACCCUAAUCAACUUUGGACUUCUCCCCUGCGAUUUUCACCAGUUUUGGAGGGUUCCAAACCUUCUCCAAACGCGUUCUUGAUCAUCAAUUUCCGAAUCAAAGCCAAGAAAUCAUCAAAUUCAUUAUCAUUCAACGUUUGAAGAUUGUUCAACCAACGAAUCUACAUCUAUUCCAUCAAACUCCAGAUUUUAUUACUUCAUCCCCAAGGUUUCAUCGUUCCAUAGUUGAUUGAUCAUUAGACUUCAUUGAUUUUAUGAUUCCAAGUUGGUUUGUGAAUUUUAGCAUUAAUUCCAUUGUUUAUAUUGAAGUUGUGUGUUUUGUUAAUCAUAUGGAAGGCUAAACCACCUAGGUUACUUCCGGGAACGUUGUAGGAUGUUAAUUUGAACACGUUUUGAUUAUUACUUUUAUUCUAGUCAAUUUCAGCUAUUGUUACAUUCUUAAAGUUAUGAUUUUUACUUAUAGUAAUUGGAGUUGGGUUUUAUUAUUGUGUGAUAUUGCAACUAAGCUAGUGUAUUGUUAAUUCACUAAUCAUUAUGAAUUCAAGUAGUUUAGGAACUAAGAUGAUCAGUUGAACCCAUAUACAUUAUUCCGAAUUUGUAGUAUUAUAUUUCAACAUUGUAAUAGGUAAUCGUAAGACACAUUAUCUCCAAACCAUUAGUUUUUCCUAAUCCAGUUAGACAUAGGGAGUAAGACAACUAGUUGGGAUAACAUAUUGUGUGCUCAAAAUUAUUUGUUGCAAGUUAAUUAACCUUAAAUAUAUCUAGGUAAUUAAAUUGGAAUUUAAGGGAAGAAAAAUGUGUAAGUCCAACCAUCUAAACAACUGAACCGGAAGUAUCUUGUUUUUUUUUUCUCUUUGAUAGUAGUUUGUUUUAGUAGUUCUUGCAUUACCAAGUUUUUAGCUUUUUCAUCAACUUAUAGUUUAAAUAAUCUCGUGACAAUUGCUAGUAGUUUUUCAUUAACUAUUUUAACACAAAGUUUGACCACAACCUCCUCGUGGAUUCGACCCUUACUUACCUUAGCUAUCUAGUGUCUGUGAGGUUUAUUUUUGACCGAGACAACGACCUCGAUCAAGCAGUACAGGCAUUCUACAAAAUAAUCAUGAAACACACAAUAGACAGGAAUAAUCGGGAGUUAGUUAGCUUUUUAUAAUAAAAUAACAAGAAAAUUAUGCUAAAAGAUGCAUGUAAAAAAUAUCUAACACAUAUAUAACAAAUAAUCAUAUAACAGUAUACAGACAGUCAGACAAAUCUAUAGAUCACUAAGCAUAGCAUUAUCCUAUAUAUAUAUAUCAGGAUACCGAUCUAACAUAUCACUACAGUACAAUAGCAUACAUAACAAGAUAUCAAAUCCAAAGGGUCGGUCUUGGUGUCUUCGACCCGUAAGUACAGUGAGGAAAACUCACCUCACAAACUGAACAGAAGUUGAUGAGGUCCUAACUCCGAAUCUCAGCUCUCUAACCGACACCUAUUCCCACCCAUGACCAAUUUCUAUCAAAAUCCCAAAAUACUCAAAAUACCCUCAAGGUCAUACUUGGUCAAAGCCAACUAGUCAAACUAACUAGGCCAACUGAGUGAACCCAGCCGAGUCAACCAAACCAAGUAACCUGGACCGAGUCAACUUAGGGUGCGUACGUGGGGCGUACUUCGGAGGUACGCUGGGCAUACACGCAACCUCACAGUUGACCACCAUCGGGGGUGGUUAACCUCGUACGCGGGGCGUACCCUCGCAAGUCCAAACUCCAUUAAGAGCUUAAUGGCCUAAGCUCUUACGUCGAUAAUUUAGAUCCAUGGCUAAAAUCCUCCUAGGAGUCAUAAAGUCUCCAACUUUAUGACCUAGCAUGUCCAAUAAGUGCUUAACACAAUGUCUUAUUUCAUUAAUACCUUCUAAAUGAUGCAUGACGCAAUACUAGCCAUUUGGAACCCAUUUGUAUGACUUAAGACCCCUCCUAGGGUCUGAAAGGAUAACUCAAAGGUCAAGAACAUGUCAUAUUCAAGAUCUAACAUUUUGGGACCAAAAAGCUCCAUAAAGACAUCCAAAUCUAUAUCUAUAUGCUAGAGGGAUAAAGUUGCAAGCUUUAUACCUUAGAAUGGUUGUAAAUGGUGAAGGAAUCCCAGAUCCAAGUGUUUCACUCCUUUAAGACGAGCUUGCCUUCCUUUCCUUCUUCUUUAAAAGCACCAAAACACACAAGCUUAGAAAUGGCUCCUCAAGAGGAUAUUAGGGUUGAAAACAUGUAUGAGAAGACGGAGGUUGAUAAGGUGAAUGAAAUGAGGCUAUAAGAGUGUUUAAAUACCAUCCAAACCCUAAAAAUUAGGGUUUCCUUAUCUGGAAAGUACGCCCAACGUACACCACAUACGCAUGGCGUACUCCGAAGGCCCAAAAUUACAACAAUUUUUAGGGUUUCCUUAUCUGGCAACUACGCCCAACGUACACCACGUACGCAUGGCAUACUCCGAAGGCCCAAAAUUACAACAAUACCAUUAAGGCCGUUUUGCAUACAUUUCUUGAACUUUGAGACCAUAAUGCAACAUAAAUGAAUUAAAUGGUUUAAUUUAGAAGUGCUUCACAUCGGGAUGUGACAUCAUGAUAAAAAUUAAAUGACCAAAUAUGUAUAAAGGGUAUAGUUACUUACCCCUCAAGUCAUUAUCCGUUUAUUUUUUUUCUUAGAAACAAAAGGUUAAUACACUAACUUAAACAAUAUAGUAGAGAAGUCUUAAAUGUAUAUUCAAAUUUAUAUCAAUGAUAUGUUGAUGAUAAGAUUAUCAAAGUUGUAAAAAUCAUUUUGCUGAAGAUCAUAUUUUACAAAAACAUAUUAUAAAAAAUAAAAAUGUAAUUGUUAAGGUGCAGUAUUUAUAAAAAAUUUCAUGUACUCAAAACCCGACAUGUCUUAAAUAUUGUUAAUAUUUUGUGAUUUAUCCUAACCUUAUGACCAUGAAACGGGUCCAACAUACAAAAUUAUGUUUUUUUUAGGAAACAUAUUUAAAAAAAAAUGAAAGAAAGACAUAUAUUAUGUUUUAAAGGAUCAUGAUAUAGAAAACAUUUCAAUGUGGGUAAUUUUCUCUUUAUAUUUUGCUAUAAACAAAGAAUAUGGUUUUUUCUCUCUCUUUUUUAUUUUUUAUUUUAUUUUUUUUAACAAUUUGAUCGACCCCUGAACCCAGUUCUAAACCCUAGCCCUCAGCAACCACGCACGUCUCUCUUCUCCUACACUGUAACAUUGUCACUCUCCCAUUCCGAUCUUCCAAAACAUCAAAAUGAUGUCUUUAAUCGCUGCAUCAAAACCCCAUGUAUUGAAACACAGCUUCUUCUCCAAUCUUGCAAGAAUCUCCAAUUCACAGCAUCCGGGUCUCUGCUUUUUCUGCUCAUCGUCUUCCGCAGAUACACCCACAAAUGAAGAAACCCCCAAAACGGAAGCUCCAGAUUUUUCCGCCGAAUCACAUCCUGAGAAACCGGUCUCGACCCAUGAAGAAGCACAACCAGGGACGAUCCAGAAUCGCGAACCCGGAAUCCCACGAGGUAAGCAUCGAAACCCAGAAAAAAUUGAAGAUAUAAUUUGCAGAAUGAUGGCAAAUAGGGCAUGGACGACUCGUUUACAGAACUCGAUUCGAACAUUAGUCCCUGUGUUUGAUCACAAUCUGGUUUACAAUGUAUUGCAUAGUGCUCGAAAUCCCGACCAUGCUUUACAGUUUUUCCGGUGGGUUGAGCGCUCGGGUUUGUUCAAACAUGACCGAGAAACACAUUACAAGAUCAUAGAAAUUUUGGGUAAAGCUUCAAAGCUUAAUCAUGCGAGGUUAAUUUUGCUCGAUAUGCCUAAAAAGGGUCUCACAUGGGAUGAAGAUUUGUUCAUUGUAUUGAUCGAUAGCUAUGGAAAAGCCGGAAUUGUUCAAGAAAGCGUGAAGAUUUUCAGGAGCAUGGAGGAAUUAGGUGUUCCAAGAACUAUAAAAUCAUACGACACUUUAUUCAAGGUGAUAAUGAGAAGAGGAAGAUAUAUGAUGGCGAAAAGGUACUUCAAUAAAAUGUUAGCAGAAAGCAUAAUCCCUUCAAGACACACUUACAAUCUCAUGAUUUGGGGGUUUUUCCUUUCUUCAAGAGUAGAAACUGCAAACAGAUUCUUUGAAGACAUGAAAACCCGUGAAAUUUCCCCAGAUGUUGUCACUUACAACACAAUGAUCAACGGGUUUAAUCGUGUCAAAAAGAUCGAAGAAUCCGAAAAAUUCUUCAUGGAAAUGAAAGCAAGAAACAUCGAACCAACUGUAAUCAGCUACACCACCAUGAUCAAAGGGUAUGUUACAGCUAAUAAAAUAGAUGAUGCAUUGAAGCUAUAUGAAGAAAUGAAAUCUUUUGGAAUUAAACCGAAUUCUUUCACAUAUUCCACUCUAUUACCUGGUCUUUGUGAAGCAGAAAAAAUGUCAGAAGCACAUACAAUCAUGAAAGAAAUGACACAUCGACAUCUUCUCCCACAUGAUAACUCCAUUUUUCUACAAUUAAUCUCAGGUCAAUGCAAAUCAGGUAAUCUUGAUUUAGCUACAGAUGCUCUUAAAUCCAUGAUUCGUUUAAACAUCACCCCUGAAGCUCAACAUUACGGGGUUCUAAUUGUAAAUCUUUUAAACUCCGGGGUUUAUGAUGAAGCUGUGAAGUUGUUAGAUCAACUUAUAGAACAAGAAAUCGUGUUGAACACAAAGGGUACUUUAGAACUCGAGUCAAACUUAUUCAACCCAAUGAUUGACUAUCUUUGCAACAACAACAUGACAUCAAAAGCCGAAACAUUAUUUCGCCAAUUAAUGAAAAUGGGUGUUUUAGAUUCGGUUUCUUUCAACAGUUUAAUACAAGGUCAUUCAAAAGAAGGAACACCCGAUUCAGCUUUUGAACUUUUAAAGAUCAUGAUGAGAAGAAACGUUUCAUCUGAUAAAACUUCUUACAAGAUGUUGAUUGAAAGCUACUUGAAGAAACAAGAACCUUCUGAUGCGAAAACGGUUCUUGAAUCCAUGAUUGAAAACGGGCAUGACCCGGAUUCAUUAAUCUUCAAAUCAGUAAUGGAAAGUUUGUUUGAAGAUGGAAGAGUACAAACCGCAAGUCGGGUAAUGAAAAUGAUGAUUGAAAAGGGUGUUAAAGAUCAUAAAGAUUUGGUUUCAAGAAUCUUGGAAGCUCUUUUGUUAAGGGGUCAUGUGGAAGAAGCUUUGGGGAGAAUUGAGUUAUUGAUGAAUGUUGGAUUUGGGCCUGAUUUUGAUGGGUUGAUUUCGGUUGUUUGUGAGAAAGGAAAGACAAUUGCUGCUGUGAAAUUGUUGGAUUUUGUUUUGGAGAGAGAUUAUGGGGUUGAGUUUUCGAGUUAUGAUAAGGUUUUGGAUGCUCUUUUGAAAGCUGGAAAGACACUUAAUGCUUAUUCGAUUUUGUGUAAGAUUAAAGAGAAAGGAGGUGUGACUGAUAAAAGUAGUGGUGAGGAGUUGAUUAGGGUUUUGAAAGAACAAGGGAACACACAACAGGCGGAUGUUUUGUCAAGGAUGAUUAUGGGGAAGGAGAAAGGGAAGAAAGUGAAGAAACAAGCAUCGGUUUUGUGAGUUUUGAGAUGAGUGAUGAUGAGUCACUUGAAUUUUAGUUUUGAUUUUGUUUGUCACAUAAUAAACUCUAAUGGAGUUAUUGUAACAUGCACCUCACUAGUUUAUUUUACAAGUUGGAACUCUUUCAUAGAAUAUUGUAUUUUGAUUUGAUUUUUGUUAGUUUAUGAAGAUGGUUGGGUUGCUUUUAUGUAGCAUGUUUUGAUUUUUUUAGAGUAUCAAGUUAAUGGGAAAUUGGUAAUGAGAGCAUAUCUUUAUGUGAAUCUUGUAUCAUAAUUAUUGAGAUUUAUCAUUUAUUUUUGGCUUUAAAUUUUCAAAUGAUAAAAAAAUGAAAGGGUUGUUGUUUGAUAGUUGUUGAUUGAGUGGUAUUUGAAUGAGUCAUAUCGACCUUACACAAUAUGACUAAAUCAGAAACUUCUAAUUAUAGUAUAAAACGAUCUGAAUGAAUUUGACUGAGUCAGAUCCCUAACCUCUUACUACCCAACUUCUUAUUAGACCACCUUACUAGACCUAGUAAGAGGCUAUAUGACCAAACUAAAAGAUUUUAAUUAUGGUAUCAAACAGUCUGAAUCUGAAUGAGUCAUAUUGAGUCUCUUACUAUCCAACUUUCCUAACCUCUUAAUACCCAACUUCUUAGGUUACUAGACCUAGUAAGAGGCUAUAUGACCAAACUAGAAGAUUUUAAUUGUGAUAUCAAACAGUCUGAAUCUGAAUGAGUCAGAUCGAAUCUCUUACCACCCAGCUUUCCUAACCUCUUAAUACCCAGCUUCACCAGCUUACUAGACCUAGUAAGAGGCUAUAUGACCAAACUAGAAGAUUUUAAUUGUGGUAUCAAACGGUUUGAAUCUGAAUGAGUCAGAUCGAGUCUCUUACUACCCAACUUUUUACUAGACCUGGUAAUAAGCAUAUUAGAGGCUAUAUGACCAAAUUAGAGGCUUUUAAUUGUGGUAUCAGUCAAUCGAGCCAUCUACUACCUAGCUUCUUACCAGAUAAGAGGCAUAUUAGAGACUAUAUGACCAAAUCAAAAACUUCUAAUUAUUGUAUUAAACGGUCUGAAUUUAACCUCUUACUAGACACAGUAAUAAGCAUACCAAAAAGCCAUUUGGUUGUAGUUUCACUUCUUGUUUUUAGUUUCUCACUUUUUCUACGUAUUUAUUCAAGUGUUAAUGGAAGCCAAAUUAACGGCACUUACUUGAAGCAAGUUUUUGUUAAAAUGAGUUGUACAGUACAAACAAGUGAUGCAUUGAGGAUGUAUGUGUCUUUAUCCUAGUGUAGCUAUUUGGCCAAUUGAUCAACACAUUUGUGUGACAGCCUCUCAUUUUUUGGCUUAUCCAAUGUCUGAUUCUGUGCAUAUUCAAAUUGGAUUAAGUCAAUUUGGUCCAUUGGGCCAAUGUCUUAAGGUAUAUAUAUUGUUCUUUUGGUGUUGGAAACAGUCAAUUUGGUCUUGGAUAUCUUAUAGUUCAUGAGAAGGGUAUUUUGGGUAUUUUGUACAUGGGAAGUUGUAUAUGUGAAGGGGCAUAUAGGGAAGAAGUUAUCAAGGGUUUUGAGAAAUCUGUAUCUCUAUCAGCCAUCGUGGCUUUUAAUUAUUUUUUGACAGUUGUGGCCACCUUUUUGUCUCUUCAUGGAGUGAUUUAAAACAAUGGGAUGUGGCUUUUACACAACCCAACAUUUGCUUCCAAGAUUUUUUUGUGAAAGAAAAUGUUUAAUCUAAUUUAUUUUAUUCUCUAUUAAUAAUAUCUUCUGAGAUGAAAAGGUUCACAUACCAAAAUAUCCAAUCAUGAUUCUAACAUUUUUAUUCGAAGUAUUUUGAAUUCAAGUGUGAAGAACCAUUUAAUGUCUUUUUUUAUAAUGUAUAUAUUAAAUCACUGGCGGACCUAAGUGUAUGCCCGGGAUAACCUUUGGUACCCCUGGAUCUUAGGAAAGUAGAAAUUUUUUGAGAAUUUUUUUUUGCAUAGUUUUAAUUUUUCAGUGUGUUACGACUAAAAUUCAGUGUGCUACCCUGACAUUUUGUUUUGGAUCCGCCAUUGUAUUAAAUGUAACAUACGUGAAAAUAUCAAACCAUAAAAAAAACUUUCUUAUUACAUAUAAAUAAUUCCAACUUAGAAAUAAAUAUCUGGUAUAUGAAUACCUUAUUUACAAACAUACAAAAGAAUCAAGAAAAAUUAAAUAUUUCUUAUAUUUUCUAAUCAAGAAUCAAAAGGCAAUUUAUCCAUUGUUGUAUUUUUAUGAGGAUUCUAUACAAAUGCUUUAAUGGUGAAUAAAAAUGAUCAUUUAAUUAUAUNNNNNNNNNNNNNNNNNNNNNNNNNNNNNNNNNNNNNNNNNNNNNNNNNNNNNNNNNNNNNNNNNNNNNNNNNNNNNNNNNNNNNNNNNNNNNNNNNNNNNNNNNNNNNNNNNNNNNNNNNNNNNNNNNNNNNNNNNNNNNNNNNNNNNNNAAGAAGAUAGUUCAUUGGUCAAGUCUACAAUAAUAGAGAGAUGUUUCAUUUGGAAGACAUCUUGAAUUGUAUAUCUUUAUAUAGGCAUAAAGGUGAUUGUUGGAAAAAUUCAUGAAUAAACUUUUUAAAUGGAAAGUUAAAAUGCUCUAUGUUGGAGUUCAUACCACUAUUUAAAAAGUUGUUUUGGGUAGUUUAGGUAUUUUUUUAUGUUUAUUUUCAAAGGGUCUCGUAAAGUCUUGUCCAACUGAAGAGUAUGAUGUCUCGGUUCUCAUAGGGAGCAAAAGAUGGUCAGUCUAAAAUCUCGUUGAUCAAGCGGAGGACAAAAGAUGGUCGGUCUAAAAUCUCAUUGAUCAAGCGGAGGACAGUGUUGGCUGAUAUGACGAUUAUACCCUUUUACUUUCAUUUUUAUAUUUUUUUAAUUUUUCAAAUACUAUUUUAAUUUAAAGAUAAAAAGAAAAGAAAAUAAUCAUCUUUUUUUUUCUCUCUCUCUCUUGUUUCUACACCAUCGGUGACAAAAAGGAGAACCGACAACCCUCCUCCACCCCUCCUUCCUGUCGAUCGAAAACAACCAAACACCCCUGAGGAUCGUCUCUUCCCUCUGCUGCUACUUCGAUAUUUCUUUCCCCUUAUCCCUUGUGUGUUGCCAAUGGAAUAGAAGGAGAAAAACCAAGGAGGCCACCAGAGCAGCCCACUCGCUAUAACAGUCACCCAACAACGUAAGUCGCCUUCGUUUUCUUCUUUCAUUUUUUGUAACAUCCCAAAAAUACGAGCCAAAAAAUUUCAUUUUUUUAAAACAUAUACUUAGCGAAACAUUAGAAAUAAACGUUCAACAAUCAUAUCAUUUCACAAAAGAUAGUGCAUGUCUGGAAAACAUUUUGAUAAAACAUAAAAGUGUUAGAGUACAAAUCCCCAGGAAGAUCUCAUGAUGCGGAAUACAAGCAUGUGUGUGAUGUACCGCUACCGCGCCAGCUCCUUCCCCUUCGAAGAAGAGGUACCUGAAACCAAAACUGAAAACUGUAAGCACGAAGCUUAGUGAGUUCCCCCAACAUACCACAUACCAUACAUUCACAUAUCAUGCAUACUGCCGGGCAAUUCUGGGGUGCCCGACCUACCCGGUACGGCCAUUCUGGGGUGCUGACCUACCCGUGUCUAGUCGUUCUGGGGUGCUGACUACCCAUGUCAAGCCGUUCAGGGGUGCUGACUACCCAUCGGUCCUAACAACCGAUCCUCAGGGACUAUUUCACCCCCUACUGCUACUAUCACAUAUAUCAUAACAUAACAUAUUAUCAUACAUAUCUGGGGUGUCCGAUCUACCCUUCGGUCCUAACGACCGAAACUUGGGGACUAGUUCCCCCUACUACCACUAUAGCAAAUAACAUAUCAUGUCAGCAUAUAACCAUAUUAUCACAUACUGCCAGACAUAUCUGGGGUGUCUGACUUACCCUUCGGUCCUACAACCGAACUCUACUACUAUCACAUAUACAUAUAAUGCCAGCGUAUAACAUAUCAGGUAGUAGCAAACCUUGAUGUUAUCACGAAGACAAUCAUCUAACAUACAACUCCUACUGGUAGGCCGACAUUGUAGCCGUGGACCCACCGCUACUGGAAGGUAACUCACCUCAAAGUAGCUGCUGAUCGGUGUGGGAACUAACUGUCUUCUGUUGCUGCCGCUCCGGAAAUCCUCCGGCUAAUAAUUCCCACAAAACACUUAGUCAAAUACUGCUAACCGACCUCAGGAUAAAAUGACCAUUUACCCCUAACCAGCUAAGAGUUAAAGUCAAAGUCAACUGGCAGUUGACCUGACUCGCCGAGUUGACUUGCCAACUCGUCGAGUCCCUGUCCCUUAGUCUGACCAUAAAUCCGUCUCUACUCGUCGAGUUAGGCGUUGACUCGACGAGUUCUCCUUCUAAACCCAAGGCCAAUAGUCCUUCAUCCCACUCGCCGAGUUGUAUGAACAACUCGCCGAGUUCAUCUUCAUCCGAAGAACACUCUAUGCUGUGACUCGCCGAGUUGUAUGAACAACCCGCCGAGUUGUUCUUGAGGCAAGAAGAUUGCCUUGAACUCGCCGAGUCAUGGCAUUGACUCGCCGAGUUACUUCAUGAGUGAGUCUGGCUUCCGAACCACUGAGUCAUAUCCCACAACUCAUUACUCCACCCCGCAAACACGAAAGGGGGAAAACUCGGGGACUCGCGACUCGACUCACCGAGUCGGCCACAUGCAAAUACUAUACACGCGAUUCUGCUUGAAUCCAACUCAUGUCAAUCAUAGAUGUGGGUGUCUAGGGCCUGAUUAACACGUAAAGUUUCCAACUUUACGUGUAAAUAAACACCCAUGAGGGUUUUAGGGCUCAAAAUGCACCAAAAGAGUAGAUCUAGGGCUUUCAUGCAAUAUGGCUCCAUAAAGGCAGUAGAUCCAAGCUCCUGGAUCUCAAUCAUGCCUAGAUCUGGAGGCUAACAACUUAUUACAACCCACAAUGCACAAACAAGCUUAGGGAAAGGCUCAAGAAGGACUUUCAUGGAGCUACAAAGGACAAUAAGCAUGAAAACAGAGGGAAACUAAGUUAUACCUCUAGGAAAUCACUGAGAUAACCCAAAUAUGCCUGGCCUCCUUCUUCUCUUCUUGAUCCACACUCCUUCCCUCAACAAAUCUUCAAGAAAACACACCAAAAAGCUUCAAACUCACAAGGAACAAGGCUUGAACGAAGUAUAGAGCUCUAAGGGUGAAUGAGGGCGAGCUUGGGGGCGGAUAAGAGGGUUUAAAUAGGGUGCAAACCCUUGAAAAUUAGGGUUUCAUCAGACAGCGGGGACUCGCCGAGUCGCCAACUUAAACGUGUUCCAGAUUCCGUCUCUACUCGGCGAGUCGGACCUGCAACUCGCCGAGUCCAAGGCUAAAAAUGAAAAACACUAAGAUAAAUUUUACAUACCAGGAACCAGGUGCUACAUUUUUGGCGAUGGACCAAACCUCCACCGAACCACCUCUAUUAUGCUUAUGUUCUUCUUCCUUCCCCCUUCACUCAAGUUGGUUCCCUUUCCCCCUCGAUUGGUGGUUGCCGAGAACGAGCGAAGAGCCUAGGGGAGUUCGUCGGAGAUCGACUCCUUCUCGCGAUCUGUUUGACCACUAGAUCACCAUUUUGACUACUUCUAUUCGUGUUCCUUCUUCCCUCUCCCGAUCGGUGAAGACGAUGAGUAAACCCACAAAGGGUCGUCGGUCUCGACGGACCCCCUUGCCCAUCCUUGCGAUUUCCCAUCUGCAAUUUGUAAAACAACUUGAAUCAGGAAAAUUCACCACAUCAUAGUUAAUAUAUAGCCGAUAAAAUGAUGAUUGAUUUACCAGUAGAGCGAGAUGCGACUUUAGUUUUAUCAAUUAUCUAUUCACCAGUCUCUCGAAGCUUCUUCUACACAUCCCAUUCCAUUCUCCCAAUCGAAUUCGACAAAAUUGAAUCAAACAAUGAUUUUUCUUGGUCAGAUUCAGGAUCUUUCAAAAUUCAUACUCCAAUAGCUCAUUAUAUUUCUGAAACUGAGGGUUUCUGUAACAUCCUAAAAUUUCCAGACAAAAUUUCAUUUUUAACUCAUUUCAAAACAUACAGUAAUCAUUUCAAAACAACCAAAAGUGUAUCAUAGUGAAAUAAUAUCAUAAUACAAAAUCCCAAAAUCACAUAAUGCAUAAAACAUGGGAGGAUGCGGUGCCAUCAAGUCGGGCCCUUCCCUUUCGUGCUGGAAAUACCAGAAACAUAAACUGAAAAUUGUAAGCACAGAGAUUAGUGAGCUCCCCCAAAAUAUCUCAUACCAUACAUACAUCACUAUAAAAAGCAUAAUUGGGUCUAUUUCACCCCUUAGGUAUAUUUCAACCGCUACUAGGUCUAUAUCACCCCCUUUGGUAUCUUUCAACCAGUAUUGGGUCUAUAUCACCCCCUUCAAUAUCUUUCAAAUGGUAUUGGGUCUAUUUCACCUCCUUCGGUAUCUUUCAACUGGUACUAUGUCUAUUUCACCCCUACAACUAAGCAUAGGAUCAAAUCACUGAAAGUCACGAAGACAACAAACACAAACAGACAUAACAUGGAAUUGUCACGAAGACAACUGUCAUCCUACUACCAUAAUCUAGUGGGCCAUCAUUGGUGCCUUUGACACACGGGUACAGUGGAGGAAAGUCACCUCGAUCGAAAGAUAGCAAAUCCCACACCCGAGUCUGUUGCCCAACAGUCCUCAUGUUAAACAUAAUCAAUACCAACCUUAGUUACUAUCUAAGGUUAAAUUCAUAGUCAUAAGGCCCAACAAUGUUCCAAGCCCAAACUAAAGGUGUCACACCCCAAAACCAAGAACGGCGGAAACGUUCUGGGGCGGAGGAUGUCAUGUAGAGUAUCAAAACAAUGUAAAGUAGUAAACAAGCAACAACAUCAUCCAUUGCAUUAAUAAUAGAAUUAUUAUACAAGUGUGUUCUGUCAAAUUUUGAUAAACACUAAAGCAUAAAUCAAAAUGAAAGAUGAGUCUUGAACAAGCUCCAUCUUCCUUUCUCCUUGCAUCGGUACCUGUCUAUGAUGACCUGAGGAUACAAGUAAUUUUGAAAGCGAGUAUCAGCUUUAAAGCUGGUGAGACCAUAAGUAUUUUAGUGACUUAAUUUGUAUGUCAGAAUUUGUAAGUAAAUGAAUUGUAAGUAUUGUAAAUGUAUAUGAAUUGUAAGUAUGAAAAUGUUUGUAAAACAACUAUAAACGUUUGAAAAACUCUAGAAAUCCCUAUGAUUCCUACUAUUAUAUACGGGUGUCUUCUACCAAGACCUAACUAUUCUCAAUGUAGUCUUCUACCAAGACUUAACUGUUCUAAAUGUUCGUGUCAUGUAAAAGUGUGUAAUUUUCCCAAGUGUAACUAUUAUUAACAAAAUAUAGUUUUUACAUUUAUAGUUUAAGUGAAAAGAUCACUAAAUAUGUGUAUAGGGAAAAUUAAUGUAGUACUAAAACGUAGCGCUAUAAGAACUACUGCUGUACUAAUUACCUUAAACCGGAUUUAUAUUAAGGCAUCAUGUGAUUAAUUGUACCAUACUAUUGACUGGUAACAACGACAUAAGAAUGGUCGUAAUAACGGAAUGACGUUUGGCACCCGCAGACCUGCAGGUCCCGCUGUAGCUAGCAGCAAGGUGUAGGAUAGUCAAUCCAGUAUAGAUCUAUACGCAAACUCACGCUCUCCCUUCAAGAGACUCUGGCUACAACUCGGGCCAUGACAUUUAAGGCAUGCUCCGAUACAGUGGAUCACAAUUUUAUGAACGUAUUAAUGUAAGUGUAAUGUACGGAAAUGUUCUACGUGUGCUAGCUGUAAUGUGUGUUCUUUCUCUAUCUAGCAAGUAUAGUAAUGUAAUCGUUCUAGUAUCGUCGUAUAUGUUCUGUUCCUAGUAUCGUAGUAUAUGUAAUGUACUGUAAUGUUCUAGAAAGUAUUGACUCAUGAAUGAACUGACUCAUUGUAUGAUAUCGCGUUCUAGUAAUUGUUCUAGUAUCUUCCUAAACUACCCAUAUGGUAGUUUACUAGUAAUCUAACUGGUACGUAUGGACAUGGAUGUAUACCCUUGCUACCCAAGGGCAUGGGAUGAACUGGAAGGACCUUUUAUGACUAUAUAUGUACACAUGAUAUAUAACUAAUAUUUAAACGACCUUCGGACGAGUACCCGAUAUCCCACCAGACCACAUCUCAAGCGCGAAAAGGAAAUAGGGUGGAUAGCCUUCCUAAGUCUUUUAAACAUUUCUUAUAUAACUAUACAUAUAGAGGCAUGCAAUUUAUAAUAUAAAAGCAUAAAUAAGUUUUGUAAAACAUUUGAACAUAAUUAUUAUUUUCAGAAAAGAUCGACUUGAUGUCAACCAAUAAAACAGUUUGAAGGCAUAGGUUUGAUAAAACAGUUUAAGUAUAAGGAAACAUUUGUUUGGAACACAAUUGUAAAUAAGUUUGAAAUGUGAUAUACAGAGUAAAAUGUACAGUGUAAUAAGGAGUUUAAAACAUAUAAAAUGUUUAUAAAAAUCAUUUGAAGGAAACUGUUUGGUAAAACGGCUAAUGUGUAGUAAAUCAUUUGAAUGCUGCAUAUUAAUCACAUGUGAUUGAUAUAAUAACUAGCAUAAUUCUACUUAUUAAUCACAUGUGAUUGAUAUAAUAACUAGCAUGAUUCUACUUGUAUCCCCCCCAUAAAACAUUUAAAAAUAGUUUAAAACAUUAGUUAAGGGGUAUGAACUCACCUGCAGUAAGUGACUGGAAUUGAACGGACUGUUAUCGUAAGGAAGGAUCGGACAAGUGCUUGGUGUCAAGUGAAGACUUUAGACACACACAAUGAUCCUAAUUACAUAUGAAGACAUAUGUAUAUAAAUAAUUAGUGAUUAAAACACUAAUUAUACAAGUAUAAACAUUUAAACGCGAGGAAAACACUUUUGGUCAAGUGCUAGGAGGCUAAUGGGUUGCAACAAAGGAGUGCAAGGCCUCUAAUGGGAGUUUAUGGUCUAAUGACCAUAUGUUUUGGAGUUUACGGCCCAGGGGAGUAAACUCCUGGCCGUAAACUCUCAACAAAGUCUCUAAAUGAAGCUUAGAAUUAUUACAACUCUAGUGGUGAAUUGUUUCAAGGCUAUAACAAGUGUUUGGGUACCAUAUUAACUCCUUUGGGGAGUUUACGGCCCAGAGACCAUAUUCCCUUGGAGUUUACGGCCGUAAACUCCCUUGGGAGGGUGUUUAUGGUGUUUUCAAGUCUCUAACAUUUCAAGGUUAUGAUCUAUGUUGGGUUCUAGGCAUAAGGAAGGAGUUAGGGUGUCAUUUGACCCCUUUAUAGGUGUUUACGGCCCAAGAACUUGUCUUGGCCGUAAACUCCUUAAUACUUGUGAUUCCUUAUGUUUUCUAGGCUUUAAACACUUUAGGGUACAUGUCUAAAAUCAAGUCUAAGCCUUAGGUGCCUUAAAAGCACCAUUUUGAGCAUGCUUUUUGGAGUUUACGGCCUAAGAUACUCUUGGGCCGUGAACUCCCAAACUUGGGUGAUUCUUGGUUGAUUUCAUGUCCCUAAUACACUCCUAUACAAGUCCAAGGCAGUAGUAUAUCACGGGGGACAAUCUAGGCUUGGUUUCGGGAGUUUACCGCCCAAGAACACCUUGGGGAGUAAACUCCUAAAUCGAAUGAUUUAGCUAUGUAAUCUAUGUUAUGAACACAUUUAAAGCUUUCUAACACUACUAGAAAGAGGUACUCACAAUUUGGGAUAAAAACCCGAAGAUCCGUGAGAGAGAAUUUUGACUUUUCUCUAAAUGGAAUUCAACUAAUGAACCAAUUUGGUUCAGAAUUCUAUUUAUAGUCCUGAGAUAUUUUUGGCAGAAAAUAUUUUUAUUCCUGAAAUGAAUUCUAAUGUCCUAGAGUAUUGGAAUAACAGUGUUGCACAAAACCCUAGUGCAUCCACUCUCCUAAUAUCUCCUUAAGUGUAAAAUCCUACAAACUGCCAAACUUAUACUCGAAAUCUGAGUUUUCACUGUAACUGUUCUACUUCUAUUGGCUUCAAAUGGUUUGUUCAGAAUGGAAAUUUCGGGUUGUCACAAAAGGACCCUAAGGCCCAACAUAUGCCCAAGAGCUCCAAGAUGGCCUAAGGCCCAUAAAUGAUCUAAUACCAUAAAAAGUUCUAAGGCCCAAACCCAACAAAGCAAGAGCCCAACUAAACCCGAGCCCAAAAACUCCAAAAGCCCACAAACAGACGUACGCACGACAUACCUAGCUCAUACACCCGACGUACGUGGCUGAUCCAAAAUCGGGUUGCUUGCCUAGUACGCGCAGCGUACUCAGGUGUAACAACGUAAAUUUUCAAAACAAUUUUUUCAUUUUUAAAACAUUCAUUCACUCAUAAAAUAUUUUCAAAACACAUUGUAUCAACUUUUAUCAUCACAAAACAUCUCCCCAAAAUCUCAAACAAAAUCUCCAACGUGUGUGUGUACGAAUCAUGCCGGCGCCUUCCCGCACUCAUCACUAGUACCUAAAACACAUAACACAACAAAUGUAAGCAUAAACGCUUAGUGAGUUUCCCAAAAUACCGCAUACAACAAAUACGCCACUCGAGGCUAUAAUAAGACCUUCCGGUCGAUGUGUCUCAGCGAGACCCUCCAGUCCCAUAGCUCGUUGGACCCUCUGGUCCGGUCAUAGCUCGUUGGGCCCUCCGGCCCGGUCUGUAUCAUUGGACCCUUCGGUCCGGUCUAUAACAUCAUACAACAUACACAUAACACAUAGCACAUAAUCUCAUACAUAGGACAUAGACCCUCUGGUCCACACAAUAUACCACUCUAGGUAAAGUAUAGUGAGAAGACUCACCUCGAUGUCUCGGUAAGUAUCUGACUCGGAAGAAAUGUGAUCUAGCCUCUGCCUAAUUACAUAAAGUAAAUACUCCCAUAAAUACAACUGUACUCAACCCUAAAAGUCAACAAGGUCAACGGUCAACUUUGAACCGACUCGGCGAGUGCACUAGGCUAACUCGACGAGUCUACACGUGUCCACUGACUCUUAGUCCCCCNNNNNNNNNNNNNNNNNNNNNNNNNNNNNNNNNNNNNNNNNNNNNNNNNNNNNNNNNNNUGACUCUCUUAGUCCCCCUCUUGACACGUCGAGUUCUUCCCCUGACUCGACGAGUUCCACCUGGCAUGAAUCGCGGGGCCACCCUGACUCAACUCGUCGAGUCUCAAGAACAACUCGGCGAGUUCCACUUGAACUCAGUCUCCCCUGACUCUUCCUGACUCACCAAGUUACUCCCCAACUCCGCAAGUCCACUCACUGAGUGAUUAACGGGCAACCUUCAUACUACUCGUCGAGUCUGUUCUUCGGACUCGGCGAGUUUAUGCCAUGCACAAACUCUAUACAACUCCUGAGGUCAGAUCUGUUCCAUACAAUCAUAGAUCUGGCCUCCCUAAGCCUGAUAAUCACGUAAAGUUCGGACCUUGGCACUCAUAUAACAUCUAAAUGGUCCAAAAUGGUGAUUUAGCCCCAAAAAUGACAUCCCAAGCUCAUGACUCCCAAAAUGACUCAUAAAGCUCCAAUGGUUAAGGCCUCUGGACCUCUUUGGGUCCAGAUCCAGAACACAAACUCGAGAAGGGACCAAAUGCUCUACUUAAUCAACCUCUAAAAGGGUUAGAAAACCCUAACACAAAGGAUCAACACCAAAACUGAAGAAGGUCCGAGAAUAAUACCUCAAUACAGUCUCUAUGAGCUCAAAAACCACCAAAAUCGCACCUCCUUCAGCCUCCUCUUGCAUUGGCCACUUCUUUCUUGCAAAAACACCCACAAAAGGAUCAAGAAUGGCCUCUUCUUCCUCACAAACGCUCUAGAUCUCUUAGGGUUUCUCUCUGGGGGUUGGUGGCCACAAAUGACGGCCCUAAAGGCCUUUAAAUAGGUCUCAAACCCUGGAAAUUAGGGUUUCAUUAAACAACAUGGACUCGCCGAGUCCAUUCGUGAACUCGCCGAGUCCAACUGUGAACUCGCAUACGAAUCCGCGACCAUACUCGGCGAGUUUGGACGCCAACUUGCCGAGUCUCCCCACAAAACUCAAAAAUAAAGGAACAAAAUUUAAUACCUGGGAAUCCGGAUGUUACAUCAGGAGUACGCCCGACGUACUGGUCAGACAACCAAACCCACUCCAAAUGACUUAACUCAUUAAGCUUAUAACGUCCAAACUUCAAUUCAACAUCAGAACAAGGUAUUAAACCAUAAAGUUGAAGACUUUAAGCUUUUACAUGGAUUAAAAAGCUCAAAUCUUGGAUUUUAACAAACUAACUUCAUGAAACAACCCUCAACCCUUGCAUGUUGAGCUUAAUUGUGACAUCUUGGAAUUUAGGGCAAAAAUUAUAACCCGCCAUUUAACCGUGAAUCUCGUGAUAAUCUGGCUUAUUGAGUUUUAGUGCAUCUAAAGUAAAAUAAAUCAUUUUAUUUCAAUUAUUAUAUGAUGUCAGAUGAUACCUUGCUUCCAAAUGUGUACACGGUCAACCGAAUCAAACCGUUUAAACGACAACGUUAAUUAAUGCGUUUGAAAAAAUAAAAUUUUGCAUUAAACAAUUUUGAGAAAAAAAAACAUUAAAAUAUCAUAGUACAUGUUCCCCUGUUUCUGAAAAUAUAAAGAACGUCCAAAACGGAGUUCAUAUGCAAAAGAUACGACAAUUUUAAGAAAACAGACAGUAAAACAUUAUUUUUCUUAAAUCACGUAAAACCGAAUCGAUCUGUUGAAGGACUUGCACACCUCAAAUGGAAAUUUCGAAAGCAUUUAUGGACUCAAGCUAUAGCCUAAUAGUUAAUUUCAUAUUCAAAAUAUUUUUAAUAAAAGUAUUUAUAAAAAUUGAAGAAUCAGACUUUUUCAUAUUUAUUAAUCGUGAAACCUUAAACUAUUGAUUUCAACCUCAUUUCAAUUAUUGACAGUACAUUUUGGAAAUAAUAUAUUAUUAUCCAAUCCAACAAACGUGAGUUAUAAUAAUAGAGGUAACAUUAUAUUUUUCAUUUACGGGUAUAACCAUUUAUAUUGAAGCAUAACUAACAUGUGGUCAGUUAUAGAUAGAUUAUUAUAAAUGUUAUAAUACAUACAUUAAUUUAUGUGUCUAAUAAACAUAAAUUAAUUAUAGCAUAAGAAGCGUGACAUCAACCAUUUACUACCAUAAUUUAUACAUUUUAACCUAAGGAUUGAAUCAUGUAUUUUUUUUAAAUAAUGCAUACAUUCAUACACAAAUACAUACAUAUACAAAAUACAUAAUUAUCGAACCAAUAUAAUUUCUCAACAAUACAUACAUCAAUACAUACCCAUUGAAUCAAUUCUACCAACAAAUACAUUAUGUAAAUUCAUAUGAAAAUACAUAUAUAUUUAAAUCAAAUACACAUAUAUUAAAUACAUUAUAUAAAAUAUUAAAAAUAAAAUUUAUACCCUUUACACUUAAAAUGACAACAAAUUUAUGAUUUCUUCUAAUUUCUUUCCCCUUCGCAACUCCUUCUAAGACAAAAGAUGAGCAACCCUGCUGCUUCGUCUCUUCCUUCUCGUCUGAGAGAUAGCAGGCUUGUUGUCUCCCUUCAGCCUCAUUGAACCCCCGGAGACAGUACCUUUACGAUCAAUCGACCCCAAACCUCCGGAUUUUCCAUCUACUAGCUUUCGUUGUCCCCCCCCCCCNNNCCCCCCCCCCCCGCAUUGUCCAUUUGUUCGGUUCCUUCUUGACCUCCCUUGGGAACAAUUCAUAUCCUUUACCCAAUCAGCCAAGUGACGAACAUGAGACUUAUAAGCCCCAAAUUGAAGUCAUUUUAUGGAAUGACUAAACUACCCUUCAUGAUUAAUUCUUAAUUCAAAAUAGGUCCCAAUCCCCAAAAGGUGAUUCCAUUUUUCCACAAACAACCCCUUAUUUGGUUAUUUUUAACAUAAUAAAUCCCAAUAUUCAAACGUUGAAUAAAAAUAACCACUUUAGCCCAUCCUUUGAAAUUAUUUUUACUAAAUCAGUCUCACUUCGGUUAAUUAAGUUACCAAACAACCCAAUAGUUUGUAUUUGUUACGAAACGGUCCGAAGAGUGUUUCAAAGUUCAAGAUUGGUGGAUUUGUGGUUCUCACGAUAACCUUCCCAAAAAUUUACAAACUUUGAACAAAUCGAACUCACACUUCAAGGGUGAGUGUUACGACCCCACUUUUACCAUNUUUUUUUUGGGGGGGGGGGGGAUACAUGUACUACUUGAAAUAUAUAUAUAUAUAUAUAUGGUUAAGUUCAAAUGAGAACACUAUUUAAUGUGAGAACGUGAGAACACUAAUUUAUGUUACUAUUCUACUAUAAAUUUAAUAUGUAUAGUAUUUUAGUAAUUAUAAUAUGAAUAUAUUCAACUUUAUAUUACUAUUCUACUAUAAAAUUUAUAUAUAUAUGUAGUAAUUUAGUAAAUUCUAAUGUGAAUGUUAAAUAUGUGAUUGAUCAUACAUUCGGUGAUGAAUAAUGUCAUAAAGUUGUACAUAUAAAAUUUUAAUGUGAAUAUUAAUGUGCGAUUGUUCGUAUAUUUGUUGAUGAAUAAUGUCAUAUCUUAUUAUAUACAAAGUUCAUAGUAGAAUAGUAACAUAAAGUAGUGUUCUCACGUUCUCACAUUAAAUAGUGUUCUCAUUUGAACUUAACCCUAUAUAUAUAUAUAUAUAUNUCCUAAAUGCUUUGUUUAUACAAAUAACAUCAUCAUUUUUAUGUAAUAUAAAUCACAAAAAAAAAUAUUUUUAUUACUCUACUACUCACGGUAUGGGGAAUCUCGUUUGCAUAGGAUUGUUGGAUUUUAGAACAGCUUAAAUGCCAAAAUGGUCAUGUCAUUCGGUGGUACAUGUCUACCCUCGUUUGUAUAUAGUAGUACGUGUACUAAAUAAUAUUUAUCAUACAAAAUAUACAUGAAAUAUUAUUGUUUUGUAUAAACACAUUACUAGUUUGAGAAAUAACUGUUUAAACGCUUAUAUAUUAAGUAAAGAAAAUUGUUUUAAAACAUCAAUAUUUACAUAUGUUAUGUUGUUAAAAUAAUACAAUAAAUAAAAAUAACAUAUGCAUUCCGACUUCAAAUGUGCUAUGACUGUAUAGACGGUUAUCAACUUGGUAGUUUCAAUAUACCACAUACAUACACAAAAAUAUAUAGGUUUAUAUAUUUAUACAAGUUAUAGAACUUGUAUCUUAGGCUUAUUCAUGUGCUUGUCUGCACUAUCCUAAGUGUUAUCAACUGUUUAAACAAGUAUCGUACACUUCUACGUGUACACUUAUCAAAUAUACUUGUCGUUUAUCCGCAUCUGCGGUUGUUAAGUACAACCUUGGCAUAUAACUUUAUCCGUGUAUCCGUAUGUCUGUUUAUCUGUAUAUGCGUUUGUUAAGUACAACUUUGGCAGAUAACUUUAUCCGUAUAUUUGUAUGUCUGUUUAUCCGUUAUCCAUAUAACCAUGAGCUUGGUUGCUUCGAAAACUAUUUUAAGUAUGGAAUUACUUAUGGAACAUAACAAUUUGGUUUUCAAGGAUAUUCAAAGGUUCAUUACAAACACAUUUUUAUGUAUAGAUUUACUAUACAUUUUGGCUUUUAAAGACCCAUUUCAAAUACUGUUUUAACUGUUGUUAUACAUACAAAGAAAAUACUUUUUUGACUUUUUAAAAGUAUUACUGCGGUUAGCAGAAAACUUGUAACGCUCACCAACCUGUGUGUUAACCCUCAAACUUACUUGUAUUCUCAGGAAAUCAUUAGACAAGUGUCCAGAUAGAAGAUUGGUCAUGGAAUACAGACGACCUACCUAUCUAGUUUUUGUUAUCUGCUUACUUAUUUAAGACAAAUAUUGUACUAUUAUUAUCUGUAAGAACCCUGUAUUCAAAUUUAAUGAUGGAAUAUGUGACAUCCCCAAAAUCUCGACCAGAAAAGACCGAUUUCAUUUAUGCUUUUAAAAUAAUUUCAGAGUAAAUCCUUUUGAUUUGAAAGAGUUGCAGAAUUUGUUCCCAAAAACAAAACAUGAUAAAACAAUGUUUACCAAAACAUUUAAUAAAAGAAAUGUAUUUUUCAUUAUAUAAUCAAAACUCAGGGUGUCAUGUUCCGAUACAGACCAAUAAGCAUAAACGAUAACAUUACAAGUCAUUCAACAAAUAUAUACAUAUACAGACUUGUAAACAAAACAACUGAUGGUUCAUCCAUCUCAUGCCCUCGCGCCACUUCCUGUAAUACAAAUAAAACUGAGUGGGUCAGGCUUGGGAGCCUGGUGAGAAUAUAGGGUUUUCAACCUACAAUAAAUAAUCAUAUUUAAUUUUUUUCACCAACCAACAAUAACCCAAUUACCCAUUCCCGUUAUUCUCACUUUAUGUCCCUAAGACAACUAACAUAAGGGACCUAGUCUAAGAAUAUUUCAUCGGGACGACAACACAUGCUUCGGGGGUACCUCAGCAAUAUAAGUCAAAUAAGGCAACCAUGAGGGGGAUGGAGUACAGCGAAUGAACACCCAAGUUCAUUAACACCUACAGGUGGCGAACCUGCUAAUGUUUCCACAAGACUGUCUAGAAUAGCCAGUGGUCGUCAUCUAAACUCCGCUAGAUGACUCAAUCAAAC